AGAGUUUGAUCAUGGCUCAGGAUGAACGCUAGCUACAGGCUUAACACAUGCAAGUCGAGGGGAAACGACAUCGAAAGCUUGCUUUUGAUGGGCGUCGACCGGCGCACGGGUGAGUAACGCGUAUCCAACCUGCCCACCACUUGGGGAUAACCUUGCGAAAGUAAGACUAAUACCCAAUGACGUCUCUAGAAGACAUCUGAAGGACCCGAUUAAAGAUUUAUCGGUGAUGGAUGGGGAUGCGUCUGAUUAGCUUGUUGGCGGGGUAACGCCACCAAGGCGACGAUCAGUAGGGGUUCUGAGAGGAAGGUCCCCCANAUUGGAACUGAGACACGGUCAAACUCUACGGGAGGCA
rnacentral:rRNA from 1 species